rnacentral:rRNA from 1 species
CGAAAGCCUGACGGAGCAACGCCGCGUGAGGGACGAAGGUUUUUGGAUCGUAAACCUCUUUUCUCAGGGAAGAAGUCAGUGACGGUACCUGAGGAAUCAGCAUCGGCUAACUCCGUGCCAGCAGCCGCGGUAAUACGGAGGAUGCAAGCGUUAUCCGGAAUCAUUGGGCGUAAAGCGUCCGCAGGUGGCUCAUCAAGUCUGCUGUUAAAGACAGAAGCUCAACUUCUGAUAGGCAGUGGAAACUGGUGAGCUGGAGUACGGUAGGGGUUGAGGGAAUUCCCAGUGUAGCGGUGAAAUGCGUAGAUAUUGGGAAGAACACCAGUGGCGAAGGCGCUCAACUGGGCCGUAACUGACACUCAGGGACGAAAGCUAGGGUAGCG